AUUGAACGCUGGCGGCAGGCUUAACACAUGCAAGUCGAACGAGCGGCGGACGGGUGAGUAAUGCCUGGGAAACUGCCUGAUGGAGGGGGAUAACUACUGGAAACGGUAGCUAAUACCGCAUACCAUAAGAUGAGCCCAGGUGGGAUUAGGUAGUUGGUGGGGUAAUGGCUCACCAAGGCGACGAUCUCUAGCUGGUCUGAGAGGAUGACCAGCCACACUGGGACUGAGACACGGCCCAGACUCCUACGGGAGGCAGCAGUGGGGAAUAUUGCGCAAUGGGGGCAAACCUGAUGCAGCCAUGCCGCGUGAAUGAAGAAGGCCUUCGGGUUGUAAAGUUCUUUCGGUGGCGAGGCGUUAACCACAGAAGAAGCACCGGCUAACUCCGUGCCAGCAGCCGCGGUAAUAC
rnacentral:rRNA from 1 species